UACGGAGGGAGCAAGCGUUACUCGGAAUUAUUGGGCGUAAAGGGCGCGUAGGCGAUUUGAAAAGUCUUGUGUGAAAGCCCCGAGCUUAACUCGGGAAGUGCACAAGAAACUGUUGAAUUUGAGUUCCGGAGAGGAAGGCAGAAUUCCCGGUGUAGCGGUGAAAUGCGUAGAUAUCGGGAGGAAUACCAGUGGCGAGGGCGGCCUUCUGGACGGAUACUGACGCUGAGGCGCGAAAGCCAGGGGAGCAAACGGG
rnacentral:rRNA from 1 species